AUCUGGGACGAGAUGAAAAGAUGCUUUACUCUGUUCAUCACCUGUUUUCCUCCCUCCCUCGUCUCCCCGCACCCCUGCUCUGCUUCGCAUUGAUGCAAACGCCAGAGAAGCAAUGAGAGAGCCAUGAAAAGCACUCCUCUGAAAAGUUACUGAACAGAAUACCUCCAGUAACUCGUGCGGCUGCCUGAAGCCCCCACAGUCCUACAAGAGCCACCCACCAUCCCCCGUGCUCAAAAAA